rnacentral:rRNA from 1 species
CGAGCGAACAGACGAGGAGCUUGCUCCUUUGACGUUAGCGGCGGACGGGUGAGUAACACGUGGGUAACCUACCUAUAAGACUGGGAUAACUUCGGGAACCGGAGCUAAUACCGGAUAAUAUUUCGAACCGCAUGGUUCGAUAGUGAAAGAUGGCUUUGCUAUCACUUAUAGAUGGACCUGCGCCGUAUUAGCUAGUUGGUAAGGUAACGGCUUACCAAGGCAACGAUACGUAGCCGACCUGAGAGGGUGAUCGGCCACACUGGAACUGAGACACGGUCCAGACUCCUACGGGAGGCAGCAGUAGGGAAUCUUCCGCAAUGGGCGAAAGCCUGACGGAGCAACGCCGCGUGAGUGAUGAAGGUCUUCGGAUCGUAAAACUCUGUUAUUAGGGAAGAACAAACGUGUAAGUAACUGUGCACGUCUUGACGGUACCUAAUCAGAAAGCCACGGCUAACUACGUGCCAGCAGCCGCGGUAAUACGUAGGUGGCAAGCGUUAUCCGGAAUUAUUGGGCGUAAAGCGCGCGUAGGCGGUUUUUUAAGUCUGAUGUGAAAGCCCACGGCUCAACCGUGGAGGGUCAUUGGAAACUGGAAAACUUGAGUGCAGAAGAGGAAAGUGGAAUUCCAUGUGUAGCGGUGAAAUGCGCAGAGAUAUGGAGGAACACCAGUGGCGAAGGCGACUUUCUGGUCUGUAACUGACGCUGAUGUGCGAAAGCGUGGGGAUCAAACAGGAUUAGAUACCCUGGUAGUCCACGCCGUAACGAUGAGUGCUAAGUGUUAUGGGGGUUUCCGCCCCUUAGUGCUGCAGCUGACGCAUUAAGCACUCCGCCUGGGGAGUACGACCGCAGAGGUUGAUACUCAA